UGGCUCAGGACGAACGCUGGCGGCGUGCCUAACACAUGCAAGUCGAGCGGGGACAUGCGACGGAUUUGAAGAUUCGGUUGGAUAUGAAGAUGUAUGUUCUAGCGGCGGACGGGUGAGUAACGCGUGAGCAACCUGUCCCUUACAGGGGGAUAACACAGCGAAAGUUGUACUAAUACCGCAUAAGACCACGGUAGGACAUCCUACAGGGGUCAAAGGAGAAAUCCGGUAAGGGGUGGGCUCGCGUCCGAUUAGAUAGUUGGUGAGGUAACGGCCCACCAAGUCGACGAUCGGUAGCCGACCUGAGAGGGUGAUCGGCCACAUUGGGACUGAGACACGGCCCAAACUCCUACGGGAGGCAGCAGUGGGGAAUAUUGGGCAAUGGGGGGAAACCCUGACCCAGCAACGCCGCGUGAGGGAAGAAGGUUUUCGGAUCGUAAACCUCUGUCCCAGGUGAAGAGCAAGAGACGGUAACCUGGGAGGAAGCCCCGGCUAACUACGUGCCAGCCGCCGC
rnacentral:rRNA from 1 species